ensembl:rRNA 5S_rRNA 5S ribosomal RNA
AUCUAUGGCCAUACCAUCCUGAACUUGCCUAAUCUUGUCUGAUUUCAGAAGCUAAGCAGGGUCAGGCCUGGUUAGUACGUGGAUGGGAGAAGCUAUACUGAUU